UACGGAGGGUGCAAGCGUUAUCCGGAUUUACUGGGUUUAAAGGGUGCGUAGGUGGGUCUGUAAGUCAGUGGUGAAAUCUCCGAGCUUAACUUGGAAACUGCCAUUGAUACUAUCAUUCUUGAAUAUUGUGGAGGUCAGCGGAAUAUGUCAUGUAGCGGUGAAAUGCUUAGAUAUGACAUAGAACACCAAUUGCGAAGGCAGCUGGCUACACAUAUAUUGACACUGAGGCACGAAAGCGUGGGGAUCAAACAGG
rnacentral:rRNA from 1 species